UACGGAGGGUGCGAGCGUUGUCCGGAAUCACUGGGCGUAAAGGGCGCGUAGGCGGCUUCUCAAGCGUGUGGUGAAAGUCCGGGGCUCAACCCCGGAUCGGCCGUGCGGACUGGCGUGCUCGAGCACUGUAGGGGCGGGUGGAAUUCCGGGUGUAGCGGUGGAAUGCGUAGAGAGUCCGGAAGAACACCGGGUGGCGAAGGCGGCCCGCUGGGCAGGAAGGCUCGCAAGAGCCGGCUGACGCUGAGGCGCGACAGCGUGGGGAGCAAACAGG
rnacentral:rRNA from 1 species